AUUGAACGCUGGCGGCAGGCCUAACACAUGCAAGUCGAGCGGAGAUGAGGUGCUUGCACCUUAUCUUAGCGGCGGACGGGUGAGUAAUGCUUAGGAAUCUGCCUAUUAGUGGGGGAUCCCAGUUGGAAACGACUGUUAAUACCGCCUAAUGUCUACGGACCAAAGUGUGGUACCUUCGGGCCACAUGCUAUCGGAUUCGCCUACGUGGGAUUAGCUAGUUGGUGAGGUAAUGGCUCACCAAGGCGACGAUCUCUACCUGGUUUGAGAGGAUGAUCAGCCACAAUGGAACUUAGACAAGGGACAGACUCCUACGGGAGGCAGCAGUGGGGAAUAUUGGACAAUGGGCGCAAGCCUGAUCCAGCCAUGCUGCGUGUGUGAAGAAGGCCUUCGGGUUGUAAAGCACUUUCAGAGAGGAGGAAGGGGUGUGUGUUAAUAGUACACACCUUUGACGUUACUCGCAGAAGAAGCACCGGCUAACUCUGUGCCAGCCGCCGCAGUAACAC
rnacentral:rRNA from 1 species